rnacentral:tRNA from 1 species
GCCGGAGUGGCGAAAUGGUAUACGCAGCGGACUCAAAAUCCGCCGCCUUCACGGGCUUAGGAGUUCAAGUCUCCUCUCCGGCACCA